AGACAGGCUAUGAGAAGGUGAUACAUUUAACUUAUUGUUCAAAGUCUUUUUGGGGUUUGGGGGUUGGGGAGUGCUUAAUUGGCAUGUUAGCUUAAUUGGCAUGAAUGUUUAGGUGAAGAAUGUUGCUAAAGCAGAAAUUCACAUAAAAAUUGACAUUUAAUGCUUAAGACAAGAUUANUGAAAUUCUUGUGAAUUAAGUGACUGUUUGACAGGGUCUGUCGCCCCAAGCCGAGGUAGCAGCUCGGGCUUUUGUGCAGUUAUUGGCCCGGGAGCUGUCCUCGGCCCCAAACGCACCGAGAGAGAGUACAGCAGUCAGGGCUGGAGGCAGUGCUGCUCCUCUGCCGGUUAGCGAUGCUAGGGUGAGACAGGCUAUGAGAAGGCAGUUCCCGAGUAUGUUUAAUACUGAUCAGCCAAGAGGAAAACGACGAUUCUCGACCCCUGCCCCUUGCAUUGUAAAAAGGACAGACUUUCAUAUGUAUGUCCUUCUCAGAACCCAGUCAGUUCACACCAAAGGGCUCAGAAGAGCUAGAACUUGCCCAUGCUGGGAAGAGGAUGUUAAGUAUACCAGACCACUUGAAACAUGAUGAGGUUAUCAUAUUGUAUAUAAUAUUGUAGAAUGGGUAAUGAUUAAAAAUGUUAAUCAUUUGCAGAAUAGUGAAUAAUUUCAUUUUUUUUUUUUUUUUUAAAGAUUGUAGCUCUGCUUGAGGAGGAAUAUCCUAAACUAAAGACCUUACAGGGAGGUUGGAUGUUUUUCAAGUCUACAGGUAGAAAUUUUUCUAAAUCUCCAAUUACAAAAAAUAUAGUUAAUGUUUUUCCAAUUCAAAACCUCAGAUAUGUCAUGUGAUGUCCGGCGAUGAAUUACCAUUCACACCACUAUUCAUGUUGUAGAGGACAGUACAAUGACUUUUUUGCCUGACAAAAUAUAACUUUUAAUAUUAAUGAUUGUGAGACUGCAAGGUUUUAAAGGACUCUUACUACUUUCCAUUUUAAAAUAGGUGGUAGCGGACAUCGCAAGCUGUCCAUAAUUCCAACUGACGCUGAGGGUUACUCCACAAGGCUUCCUUAAUUUUGUAGUUAUUUGUAGUUCCACUACAGGAGAAGCUUUCUACUGAACCACUUUCCUAUGAUUCAGUAGAGUUCGCCAAGAUGCCACAGUCAAAAUGCAUUACAUGUGGCAGUCAAAUGCCUUUGCAAUGGCACAUUGACUGUAAGCUGUAUCACAACAUCUCUCUCAUUUCUCUUUUUUAGUUUGUUCAAAUGACUGUUUCAAAGUAUUAAGUAUUUGUUUAUUAUAUAUUUUUAUAAAUUAAUUUUAUGUAUUUAGGAGAGUGAAUCUGGGACAUGUCUUGAUGAAGAUUGUUCAGUUCUUGAGCAGCCAGUCCCAUCUACCAUAGGCAUGGAUGAAUCCUUGGCGGUAAUAUAUGUUGUCUCUUCUGUUGCUUUGGAAUUUAGUAAGAAAGCAUUAUUAUUUUAUUCAUCACAUAAAGUAAGCAAGCAGAAAGUUUUAGUACAGAUAAUGUAAU
ensembl:lncRNA